rnacentral:rRNA from 1 species
UACGUAGGGUGCGAGCGUUAAUCGGAAUUACUGGGCGUAAAGCGUGCGCAGGCGGUUCGUUAAGUCAGAUGUGAAAGCCCCGGGCUCAACCUGGGAACUGCAUUUGAAACUGGCGGGCUUGAGUGUGGCAGAGGGGGGUGGAAUUCCGCGUGUAGCAGUGAAAUGCGUAGAGAUGUGGAGGAACACCGAUGGCGAAGGCAGCCUCCUGGGCCAGCACUGACGCUCAUGCACGAAAGCGUGGGGAGCAAACAGG